UACGUAGGGGUGCAAGCGUUAAUCGGAAUACUGGGCGUAAAGCGUGCGCAGGCGGUGAUGUAAGACAGGUGUGAAAUCCCCGGGCUUAACCUGGGAAUGGCAUUUGGGACUGCAAGGCUGGAGUACGGCAGAGGAGACUGGAAUUCCUGGUGUAGCAGUGAAAUGCGUAGAGAUCAGGAGGAAUACCGAUGGCGAAGGCAGGUCUCUGGGCUGAUACUGACGCUCAUGCACGAAAGCGUGGGGAGCGAAA
rnacentral:rRNA from 1 species